GAGCAGGAAAGCAGGGGAUCGCAAGUCCUUGCGCUGAUUGAGCGGCCGAUAUCAGAUUAGCUAGUUUGUGAGGUAAAGGCUCACCAAGGCGACGAUCUGUAGCGGGUCUGAGAGGAUGAUCCGCCACACUGGAACUGAGACACGGUCCAGACUCCUACGGGAGGCAGCAGUGGGGAAUUUUGGACAAUGGGGGCAACCCUGAUCCAGCCAUGCCGCGUGAGUGAAGAAGGCCUUCGGGUUGUAAAGCUCUUUCGGCCGGGAAGAAAUCGUAUGGGUUAAUACCCUGUGCGGAUGACGGUACCGGCAUAAGAAGCACCGGCUAACUACGUGCCAGCAGCCGCGGUAAUACGUAGGGUGCGAGCGUUAAUCGGAAUUACUGGGCGUAAAGCGUGCGCAGGCGGUUUUGUAAGACAGGCGUGAAAUCCCCGGGCUCAACCUGGGAACUGCGCUUGUGACUGCAAGGCUAGAGUAUGGCAGAGGGGGGUGGAAUUCCACGUGUAGCAGUGAAAUGCGUGGAGAUGUGGAGGAACACCAAUGGCGAAGGCAGCCCCCUGGGCCAAUACUGACGCUCAUGCACGAAAGCGUGGGUAGCAAACAGGAUUAGAUACCCUGGUAGUCCACGCCCUAAACGAUGUCAACUAGGUGUUGGGUGGGUAAAACCAUUUAGUACCGGAGCUAACGCGUGAAGUUGACCGCCUGGGGAGUACGGCCGCAAGGUUAAAACUCAAAGGAAUUGACGGGGACCCGCACAAGCGGUGGAUGAUGUGGAUUAAUUCGAUGCAACGCGAAAAACCUUACCUACCCUUGACAUGUCCAGGAGCCUGAAGAGAUUUGGGUGUGCCCGAAAGGGAACUGGAACACAGGUGCUGCAUGGCUGUCGUCAGCUCGUGUCGUGAGAUGUUGGGUUAAGUCCCGCAACGAGCGCAACCCUUGUCGUUAAUUGCCAUCAUUUAGUUGGGCACUUUAACGAGACUGCCGGUGACAAACCGGAGGAAGGUGGGGAUGACGUCAAGUCCUCAUGGCCCUUAUGGGUAGGGCUUCACACGUCAUACAAUGGUCGGUACAAAGGGUUGCCAACCCGCGAGGGGGAGCCAAUCCCAGAAAGCCGAUCGUAGUCCGGAUUGCAGGCUGCAACUCGCCUGCAUGAAGUCGGAAUCGCUAGUAAUCGUGGAUCAGCAUGUCACGGUGAAUACGUUCCCGGGUCUUGUACACACCGCCCGUCACACCAUGGGAGCGGGUUCCGCCAGAAGUAGGUAGCCUAACCGCAAGGGGGGCGCUUACCACGGCGGGGUUCGUGACUGGGGUGAAGUCGUAACAAGGUA
rnacentral:rRNA from 1 species